rnacentral:rRNA from 1 species
AUGAACGCUGGCGGUAUGCUUAACACAUGCAAGUCGAACGGUCUCUUCGGAGAUAGUGGCGGACGGGUGAGUAACGCGUGAGAAUCUGGCUCUAGGUCUGGGACAACAGUUGGAAACGACUGCUAAUACCGGAUGUGCCGAAAGGUGAAAGGCUUGCUGCCUAGAGAUGAGCUCGCGUCUGAUUCAGCUAGUAGGUGUGGUAAAAGCGCACCUAGGCGACGAUCAGUAGCUGGUCCUGAGAGGAUGAUCAGCCACACUGGGACUGAGACACGGCCCAGACUCCUACGGGAGGCAGCAGUGGGGAAUUUUCCGCAAUGGGCGAAAGCCUGACGGAGCAAUACCGCGUGAGGGAGGAAGGCUCCUGGGUUGUAAACCUCUUUUCUCAAGGAAUAAAAAAAUGAAGGUACUUGAGGAAUCAGCAUCGGCUAACUCCGUGCCAGCAGCCGCGGUAAUACGGAGGAUGCAAGCGUUAUCCGGAAUGAUUGGGCGUAAAGCGUCCGCAGGUGGCCCUGUAAGUCUGCUGUUAAAGAGUGAGGCUUAACCUCAUAAAAGCAGCGGAAACUACAGAGCUAGAGUGCGUUCGGGGCAGAAGGAAUUCCUGGUGUAGCGGUGAAAUGCGUAGAGAUCAGGAAGAACACCGGUGGCGAAGGCGUUCUGCUAGGCCGCAACUGACACUGAGGGACGAAAGCUAGGGGAGCGAAUGGGAUUAGAUACCCCAGUAGUCCUAGCCGUAAACGAUGGAUACUAGGCGUUGCGAGUAUCGACCCUCGCAGUGCCGGAGCCAACGCGUUAAGUAUCCCGCCUGGGGAGUACGCACGCAAGUGUGAAACUCAAAGGAAUUGACGGGGGCCCGCACAAGCGGUGGAGUAUGUGGUUUAAUUCGAUGCAACGCGAAGAACCUUACCAAGACUUGACAUGUCGCGAACUCUUCUGAAAGGAAGAGGUGCCUUCGGGAGCGCGAACACAGGUGGUGCAUGGCUGUCGUCAGCUCGUGUCGUGAGAUAUUGGGUUAAGUCCCGCAACGAGCGCAACCCUCGUUUUUAGUUGCCAGCAUUAAGUUGGGCACUCUAGAGAGACUGCCGGUGACAAACCGGAGGAAGGUGGGGAUGACGUCAAGUCAGCAUGCCCCUUACGUCUUGGGCUACACACGUACUACAAUGCGUCGAACAGAGGGCAGCAAGCUAGCGAUAGCAAGCAAAUCCCGGAAAUCGGCGCUCAGUUCAGAUCGCAGGCUGCAACUCGCCUGCGUGAAGGAGGAAUCGCUAGUAAUUGCAGGUCAGCAUACUGCAGUGAAUUCGUUCCCGGGCCUUGUACACACCGCCCGUCACACCAUGGAAGCUGGUCACGCCCGAAGUCAUUACCCCAACUUUUCGGAGAGGGGGAUGCCUAAGGUAGGACUGGUGACUGGGGUG